GUCAGACCGUGGUGGUCUAUGAUGGACAUGACCAGAGGCAAGAUUUACAGGUUUCCAUCCUCUCUUUCCACACUGACAGUUACUCCAUCAUGGGUCUGACAGGAAACACAAAGUCUGAGUUGAUGCUGCUAUGAGCAGUCUCUCCGGAUCAGGGCUAUGUGUGUGUGUGUGUGUGUGUGUGUGUGUGGGACGUGUAGAGUUUGUUGAGGAGCAGAUGAACUCAAGAACUGGGCACUUUUCAGAGAUGCUGCUCUAGUUUUUUAAAAACUAAACAAAUCAAUAAAUUUAACAACUUUCUUUACAA